rnacentral:lncRNA from 1 species
CACACACGGACUCAUUGUGACAUGUUGGUAAGCAACAGUUUUUUUUUUCAAGUCUUCAAAACACCCAAGAGUCAACAGAAGUUCUGUAUUCCGCAUCCGUUCACAAAGUCCAGGUGUUUUCCAUGUGUUUUUUCACAGUUGGUGGGAAGAUGACUCCAGUCUUUCAACAACAGAUUGGUACACAGUUCAUUUAUGUGAUCAAAGCAGAUGAUGGUAGGAUGUGCUUAAUUGGUAGCAAUAUUGAUGGCAGUAACUGUGAAAGGAAGGCUUUCAGUUAUUUUUUCCUUUGCAAAUUCCAGAAAUGUAAGCCCAUUCCUACCCAUACAAAGGGAUAUUACUGAAUCCAGCCAAUUUCCACUAAUUAAAAGCUAAUAUUAGUAACACUUUUGAUGCCCAAUUGAGUUUUAAUGAAAAUGAAAAAAAUUUGUUUGAACUCCCAGACCUCUUCAACCUGGCUCCAUCUUCUCUGUUCCUUUUCUUUUGCCUGAAUGUCCUGAUUGGGUUACUAAGUAAAGUCUAGAUACUUUGAAAGUAUGCGUAUGCUACAAUGAAUAAGCUUCCUUACAGCAAAUUGUGACUUCAGCUCUAAGGCAACUUGGAUAAAGAGAUCACAUUGACUUAAUCUGUUUCAUUCCCAUUUGACUCAAGGCUUAGCUGAUAGCCAUUUAGAUGAAAAUACAUUUUCAGAAACAUUUAGCGAAUUAAUACCAAUUUUGUGGAACUGCAUUAAAGUCCCAACUUAGAUUCCAGAUAGACAGGCUGGACCCUUUCCUUCACUCGGCCUCCUGUCCCACCCUCUGUGAGUGAAAGAAAAAUGGAAAGGGUCAAAGCACAGGCAUUUUUAAUCUUUUUCAAGUUCUUUCAAUUUGGUCUUUCGUUCCUCCAGUUUUCUGAUUGUUGUCAAUUUUAUUAUUCUUAAAUUUUAUGCAAGAAUGUUAAACAUUAAUGUUAUUUUCAUCCACUGGCAUUAUUUUACCAUAGCAAGCCACCUUGAGUAUAUUAUAGUAAGGAGAACAUUUCUAAAUUACUGUGAGCAUUAGCAUGUAAAAAGGUAAAAGGUUUAACGAACACAGGCAAAAUUGGUCAAUGUAUUUCAAAGCCUGCUGCAGCUCAAAAAUGGCUUGUUUGCCCCAGGAUAAUGCAAAGUAGCCUAAGAUUGUGGAACUUAGAUGGCUGUCAUCCCUCCUGACCAGUAGUGGUCACAGUCAUAGCUAAAAUGGCCUAGAAAAUUGAGUUUCUUAGCGUGGAGGGCUUCUGUAACUUUAGGGUCAGGCUUGCUACAAAGCCCAGCUUCCCACUCAUUGCAGUGGCCGGAGAAGACAUGAGGAUGAGGACUCACAUUGCAUAUUACUUGGGGACUAAGGACUAAGUCGUGCCACUACCCAGAAAAGAGACCCCCCCCCCCCAUCCAGCACUUCCCUAUGUCUAUGUUUCCUUUUUCCAUGUCUCAGGAGCCAAGUGAAGGCCUAAGAGACAUGCAAAUCCUUGUAGAACAGGCGAACCAAUAAAGCAAAUGAAUGAAUAAUAACCUUCCUGUAUUCAACCUCUGAGGCAAACUGUGGGAAAUGAGGAAAGUGUUCUUCAGUCUAGAAAACGUUUGAGCUAAUAUUUCUGUUUAAUAAAGAGCAUCCCUCUGCUUUCCGGGGCAUCUGUAAGUCACACUGAGUGCCCUUUUGGAACAAAUGUGUUGCACUUAGCAUCCAGUAGCAUCUUCUGCAAUGUGUGGAACCGAGGAAAUAGAGAACCUCUUUUAUUAUUUCCACUCUACCAAGCAUGCCCAUGAGGAGGGGAGCAACUUUUUAUUUAACUUGCCUCCUCUACACCUUGAUGUUUUUCCCAGCUAAAGUGAGAGCUGUAGUCUCAAGGUGUGACUGCAGUCCCCUCAGAAACUACUGAGGUAAAGUACACUUUGGGUUGCAUCCUUUAAAUGUCUUUGUUCUUUUCAGUACUUAGAAAUUUUAGUACUUAGAACUGCACUUUCAUCACACUUAAGUUAAAAGUAUGAGUGUGAUAGUAUAUUCUUCUUGCUCACAUGACGCUGAGCCAGGCAAUGAACAAAUACGUUUAGAAUUAUCGAUUCAUCUUGAUUCUCCUUUGAAACACUUCAACAGUAAGAAAAGGAAAAUGGGUAAUGAAUUAAAGGACAGACUUUAAGUCUGUCCUGGCUUCAAGCUAGGCCAAUGAGAAAAUGACUUUUGGAGCUUCCUUAGCUAGGAAGUCUCCAGUUUAUGUUGAAGGAAUCUUGGCCUUGGUUGGGUUUCGCAAACAGCCAUUAUAGUUAAAAUAUUUACUCAGAAGGCUGGAGAGAUGACUCAGUGGUUAAGAGUCUGACUGCUCUUCCGAAGGUCCUGAGUUCAAAUCCCAACAACCACAUGGGGGCUCACAACCAUCUGUAAUGUGAUGUGGUGCCCUCUUCUGGUGUGUCUGAAGACAGCAACAGCGUACUCAUAUACAUAAAAUAUAUAAUUCUUUAAAAAUAUUAUUCACUCAGUAAUCAGAUAUAUUCUUCAGGCUGGGCAUGGGUUAAGCACAUCUGUAAUCUCAGCACUUGAGAAGCUGUGACAGUCACCAAUUAGAACCAGCCUGGGCUUUAUGAGACCAUGUCUCCUAUGAUCAGUGAUCUACACUAGGUCCACCUCACAUUUUAGUUUUAGGACCUAGGUUAGCAUAUUUUAUAUACAAUGUUUCAUUAGGUGUUGUGUUCUGCAUGCUUGGUCCCUCCAGCCAGUACAUCUAGUUCGAGAGGUUCUGGGCCACACUGAGUACAUGCCAUCAGAUGCUCUGGCCUCUUCCCGUUUUGUUCCCUGAUACCCAUGCUCUGGGAUUAUCUCACUCUGGCCCUAUAAAACUCCUUUACUGGCAAGGUGUUUGUAAUUCAUCUCUGGCAGCAGCAUUCAACAAACAUUUAAGAAACUGGAUGGAAAAAGUUCCUGUCAUUAAUAAAACCUUUUCCACCUCCUCAGUCAAGCCAGCUGGGAAGUAUCCUAGACAGCAUAGUCCACUCAGUGUAACAUUUAGCACACUGCCUUGCACAAAUCCAUUUUUUUUUUCUGUUUUCAUUUCCUCAUUGAAGUGAAUUGAAGUUUUGGUCUAGAUUUCACUCCUAUAAGUGCUACAUAAUGCUAGAAAGCAAUCUAUGUGUUCGCUCAACACAUAGCAUGGUAAAAUUAUUAUUAGGUGGUGUUAGGUGAUAAGCAUUAUGAUUAAGUUUCAGCCAUUAUGAAACUUAGAAAGUAAUCACUGUUCACUGAUAAAGCCAACAGUUAGGUCCCGGCUUUAUAGAACUGUAGACUUCACAAAGCUCCACACAGAUCUGUUGUGCAUGCCUGGGAUAAAAGCAAAGUCAUUGCACACCAGGCAAAUAUUGCAUAUAUACACAUAUAUAUGGCAGUUUACAAAUUAUAAAUUAAUCUCAUGCAUAAUUUCUUUAGAUACACAGGACAAUGAGAAUGCUCUUUGCAUCCCAGUGCCUAGCAAGGGCACUGUUUUGUAAUAAAUGACUGCCAUUCAGUAUGUACUCAUCAAGUAUUGAAUGCUUCAUAUAUUCAGUGGUUCACAGUUACUUAUUUACUUUAUUUUCACAGUAUAAUAAAUGUGGCAGAAUUUUAAAAGCCUGGAAAUUGAUACCAAGUAAGAAAAUGAAUUGUUACAUUUAUAUGGUACCUCCGAGUUCAUAAAAUGCCAACGUACAUAUUAUUCUCAAGUGUGGACACACUGAAAUGUACGUCUGUGUAUCUCUCCAGUACCCAUGAAAGAGAAUAUACACAUGGGAGACAAUAUUUAGCCUCCAGGUUUGAGAUUGACCUUAUGGUCUUCCCAGGCUAGCCUCCAAUUUCUGGGCUCAAGUGGUCCUGUUGCUUCAGCUCAGAGCACAUGCUACCACACCCAGCUUGUUAACUGUACUCUUCCCAUUAUGGGCUAAAAAGUACAAUGAAAAUUUUGUAGAGACUAUGCCUAUUUUAUAGGCAGCUUUAUUUCUAUAGAAAAUUUGUCUUGUCUUAUACUACUGAACUGCUUUAUAGUUAAGAAAGUACCCACAACCAUAAUGUGACCUGGGCAAAUGUUCUUGUAUUAACAUGCCCUUAUCACUCAAGUUUUGACUGAUUAAAUUAAGCAUUGGCUCAUUCCUUAUGAAUAGUAUGGAAUGCAAACAUUCUUAUUUCAUGGCAGUUACUCAUGAAUAUUUCAUGUACCCAAAACAAUAUCGGAUACAUCAGAGGUAGUUAGUAGUCAUUCAUUUGCACACAUGGAACAAUUGAUAGCUGUAUAAUGCUUUAUUUAAUGCAUUCUUUUGUAAAUUCUAGUUCUGUGGUAAUGUCCCCCUUUGUUAUUCCCAGUGCUGAACAUGGGUAUUCAGAAAUUAGAAGGUGAUCAGAAUAGGGUAAUCAAUCACCUGCAUUAGUGACCUAGUUUGUAGUUUAAAAUCAGUUUCCAUGUGUUUUCUCUUCUGCUACCUGGUAUAAUAUAACUUACUGAGCCUCACCAAAGCAGAAGAAACACACUGGCCUUAAGUAUAUGGACUGUUAUUCAUUCAAGCCCCGUUAUGUUCAUAUAUUUGUUUUUACAAAGCAUGUUAUUCCUAGAGCAAUCUUUGUGCCUAUAGCACACAGAGGCGUAGACUUCAGCUACUAUGUAAUACAUACUCAGCACUGACUUGGAAGUUACAGUAGGCUUCAUGGUUUACGUAUUCAUACGUUUCCUGGUUACCUGGUAAUAUCUUGUUACCUGGGGGUGACCACAGUGAAGCAUCACAGCCUUAGUAUUCAGCACAAAAAAUAUGCAGGGAAGGAAAUUAAUGUUACUCAGACAUUCCCUGGCAUUCAUAUCAGGGCUUGAUCAAGUACAGGCAAUAGACCAGUGUGCCUUUUUCUUACCUUUUGAAAAGGAUUUGCAACUAAGGAAUAUGCAACUAAGACCAUGAACCCACAAAGCUUCAGGUACUUAGUCUGAUGCCUUAUAGGAAAAGCUCUACACUUUCAGAUAAUAACCAUGUAUAAUUGCCAAUGUGCUAUGAGCAUGUUACUUUUUCAUCCUGUGUCAUUUAACUUCCCUCUUACAGAGGAAGAGGAAGGCACGAAAAAGAUUAAGCCCGUUAAGUAGUCCUUAGAGUCUCUCAUCAUUAAUUUUAAAGGUAGGUAUUAGACCCAGGAGUUCCUUUGGUGAAAUGCACCAAAUUACUCGGCCACUACUAUGAGCAGGGAGUUCAGACCUCAUUUUGUCCCCAAACCAUUAUUAGAAAACCAUACCCUGCUCACCUAAGCCCAAAGAAAGAAGGUGACACUGGCUGGUGCUUCUCAGAGGGUUGGCACAUCUGCAUAUUGCUUGUCUAAUUCUUCUCAUUGGUCUGGAACAACUCUUUAUAUUUUCUCUAGAUAGCCUGACAUUGUUUUCCCCCUAACAACCUGAUGCUUUCCUUUUCUUGUCAGCCUAGGGCUUCUGAGGUAGGGAGGAUGGCAGUAUGCAUAUCUGUAUGCAUGCUUAUUCCUAGGGAAGUUUCAAUAGUCAGGCUAUAUACACUGGCUGGAUUUAGUUCCGUCUCAAGUGGAGCAGAUGUGAAGAGAAAUGGAAGUUGUAAAACAUCAACAAUUUAACAAAUGGCUAAGACCCAGUUUAAAACAGACCCUUGCACAAUACUAUCCAGCUAAAAACGUAUUCCUUUAUGGGCAAUGGCAACAAUGAAAAAUUACAUCUCAAGUGAAGACAGCUUAAAUAGAAAUAUAAGAAAUGGAAAGGGAUGCUGGGGUUGGGGGGCAGGUCUCAUCUUCGAAUUUCCCUUCUUGGUCUUGGGGAUAGAAGGAUAGAAAUAUCCUUCCAGAGUUCUGGGCCAUAGGCCUUUAUCUCUUAAAUAUUCUGUCCAUAUAGGAUUGGGUCCUUAGGUCUUAUGCUUGGACUUAGCUCAGGUUUUGUGUCUUAUGACAUACGUAGUUCCCCGCUCUUGGAAGUCACAGGUGUCCUGUAGAAACAGUUCCUCUUCUUUGGGUUGUCAGCAUUCUGUCCAGCCAGCUCAAGACGGGCCAUCUGUGUAUUUUGGUCCUUUUAAAUCUCAAGUCGCAAAACUUCUGUCUUCUACUUGGGCGUUCACUUCAGAGCCACUUGAAUCCUGACCGGACGGAAUGAUGUAUUUUGUCUUAGAUUAUUUCUCAGGGCAGUCUGGUGUGAGGAACGGCUCCACGGGUGACAUUCUGGACCUAUUGGGAAGGGGCUAUGAAGCUCCUCUCACACAUGACACACAUAACACACAUGCACACACGCACAUGUACAUACAAAGAAACAUCCAAGAAAGGAUUACUUUAGAAUACAAGAGAGACACAGACUUGUAAAGAGAUGAAAUGCUCAAAGUGAACAGAAAGGAGGAAAGUAGAAGAUAGAAACACAAGCAAACACAAAGCAACAGAAUGAUGCUGAGAUAAGAAAUCCACCAAUAGCAAAGAGACACAAAUACAAAAGAAAACAGAGAAAGUGGCCCAAGAAAGGCAGGGAAGAAAUGUAAACAAGAAUUCACUAAGGAUAGAAGCAGCAGAAAGAAAACUGAAAUGGACUGACAAAGAGAACUUGAACAAAGAACAAGUGGGGUGAGCACAAGAAAAAGAGAGGGAUGCAUGCAACAUGUGACCCAAAGGGGAGUCACGAAAGGCAGGAGUGAAAGAAAAGCUAAGAGAAAUAGCAACCAGAUAGAUAAAACAGAGAGCCAUAGCUAGUGAAGACAAAGCAGACCACACAGGCACCAGAGAAAGUGAAACAAAGCUCAAAGCUCUGCAAGAAAGAACAUGCAGGAGAAACAUGGGAAUAGGUAAGACACACUGCAGACAGAAAAGACACACAAAGGAAAGAAGGAGACAUGCAAAGGAAGGAAGAAAUAGAUGUAACAAAGAAUUAGACACACAAGGAAGAAGUAGAUACACAAAACAAGGAAGACAUAGACACACAAAGCAAGGAAGACAUAGACACACAAAGCAAGGAAGAAAUAGACACACAAAGCAAGGAAGAAAUAGAUGCAACAACGAAUUAGACAACACAAGGAGACAUAGACACACAAAGCAAUGAAGAAAUAUAUAUACCAAAGAAUUAGACACAAUGCAAGGAAGAAAUAGACACACAAAAGCAAGGAAGAAAUAGAUGUAACAAAGAAUUAGACACAACUGCAAGGAAGAAAUAGACACACAAAAGCAAGAAAGAAAGACACACAAAAGCAAGGAAGAAAUAGAUGUAACAAAGAAUUAGACACAACUGCAAGGAAGAAAUAGACACAAAGCAAGGAAGACAGACACACAAAGCAAGGAAGAAAUAGAUACACAAAGCAAGGAAGAAAUAGAUGUAACAAAGAAUUAGACACACAGACCAAGGAAAAAAUAGAUACAUAAAACAAGAAAUAGACACACCCACAAUACACACUAAUGAUUGAUAGUAAGCAAAGACCACCAGAAAGAGGGUAACAAGAAACAGGGAAGGGCAAAGAAAAAAAUUGCCAUUAGUACACUGUACCAGGCUAUCAACGUUAAACUUAAGGUUUCCUUAACAUAGGACCAUAGGACACACCCGUCAACUCUUCCAAAUGGCCUAGUCAUGCAACUCCAGGGCAUAUUUGCCAGGCUCUGUACUCAACACUUUCCAUUCAUGAUUUCAUUUGACCUUCACAAACAGACAGGUCUUAGCAGAACUAAAUUGCCAAAGGGCAUACAUCUAGGGGAUAUUACAUUUAAACACAGAAUGAACAUCUCAACAUUCUGUUACAUGGAUUAAAAGCUUCUGUAAGCAGCAAACACUAUAAGCGACUGCAUAUUUAAUUGUCAGCUUCACUCUCCUCUUCUAUUAAAAAAAAGGGGGGGCUUGGUUUUUACAUCCUUCACAAGUCUAAUGGCUGCUUCACAGAUGGAGAUAAGAAAUAAACUAUUUAAAGCUUUUCAAUGUUUAAGUCUGUAAGAAUGGUAGGGCACCAAGCCAAAACAAACAACAACAACAACAAAACCUAGAAGCUAAAUUCCUCUUGUGAUAUAACUGGUAAGCAGAUAAUAGUUUGAGUUGCUGCUGUGAGGCCAUUUGAUAACGUGAAAGCCUGUUCAUCUUCCAUCGUGUACAUGGCCCUGCCUCACAUUAUCACAUUAGAUGCUCUCCACCCAGCACCAUCUUCCAGCAAAUGCAAAUCCUCAGAAGACUGCAAUGCUAGUGACUUACCUCAUUCUAUUGCUUUUAAGAUGCUGCAGUCAGGCAUGUUGAUCCUCGGGUCAUUUAUAAAGCUGCCUUCCUUUUGUGUGUUCACAUUGCUUGAUCACGCUGAAGACCCAGUUUUCUGUGCUGCUUUGGGGAAGGGUAAUAUUUGGUAGAUGGCAC